UCCUGCUUAUCACAGGCAGUUCCCUUAGAGUGCCCAGCAUAACCUGUUGGUAACUAAGGGCGAGGGUUGCGCUCGUUGCGGGACUUAACCCAACAUCUCACGACACGAGCUGACGACAGCCAUGCAACACCUGUCACCGGUCCAGCCGAACUGAAGAGGCAAGUCUCCUUGCCUCAAAACCGGGAUGUCAAAGGAUGGUAAGGUUUUUCGCGUAGCAUCGAAUUAAACCACAUGCUCCACCGCUUGUGCGGGUCCCCGUCAAUUCCUUUGAGUUUUAAUCUUGCGACCGUACUCCCCAGGCGGGGUGCUUAACGCGUUAGCUACGUCACUGAGGCUUAAGCCCCAAUAACUAGCACCCAUCGUUUACGGCGUGGACUAC
rnacentral:misc_RNA from 1 species